GAUGAACGCUGGCGGCGUGCCUAAUACAUGCAAGUCGAGCGAGAAUUUUUCAAAUGACACCUCGGUUGAUUUUGGAAACGGACAGCGGCGGACGGGUGAGUAACGCGUAGGCAACCUGCCCCUGACAGAGGGAUAGCCAUUGGAAACGAUGAUUAAAACCUCAUAACGCCGAAGGAACACAUGUUUCAUCGGCCAAAGAUUUAUCGGUCAGGGAUGGGCCUGCGUCUGAUUAACUAGUUGGUGAGGUAACGGCUCACCAAGGUGACGAUCAGUAGCCGACCUGAGAGGGUGAUCGGCCACAUUGGAACUGAGACACGGUCCAAACUUCUACGGAAGGCAGCAGUAGGGAAUCUUGCACAAUGGGCGAAAGCCUGAUGCAGCAACGCCGCGUGAAGGAUGAAGGCCUUCGGGUUGUAAACUUCUGUUCUUAGGGAAGAAGAAAGUGACGGUACCUAAGGAGAAAGCCCCGGCUAACUACGUGCCAGCCGCCGCCGUAA
rnacentral:rRNA from 1 species